AACUCUCAACAACGGAUAUCUUGGCUCCCGUAUCGAUGAAGAACGCAGCGAAAUGCGAUACGUAGUGUGAAUUGCAGAAAUUCGUGAACCAUCGAAUCUUUGAACGCAACUUGCGCCCUUCCCUCGGGAAGGGCAUGUCUGCCUCAGCGUCG
rnacentral:rRNA from 1 species